CCUACGGGAGGCAGCAGUGAGGAAUAUUGGUCAAUGGGCGGGAGCCUGAACCAGCCAAGUAGCGUGCGGGAUGAAGGCCCUACGGGUCGUAAACCUCUUUUGCCCGGGGAUAACACCCUCCACGUGUGCCGGUCUGCAUGUACCGUACGAAUAAGCGUCGGCUAAUUCCGUGCCAGCAGCCGCGGUAAUACGGAGGGCACGAGCGUUAUCCGGAUUUAUUGGGCUUAAAGGGUGCGUAGGCGGGCGGUCAAGUCAGCGGUAAAAUUGCGCGGCUCAACCGCGCCCCGCCGUUGAAACUGGGAGCCUUGAGUUCACAACAGGCAGGCGGAAUUCGUGGUGUAGCGGUGAAAUGCAUAGAUAGCACGAGGAACCCCGAUUGCGAAGGCAGCCUGCCGGGGUGCGACUGACGCUGAGGCUCGAAGGUGCGGGUAUCAAACAGGAUUAGAUACCCGGGUAGUC
rnacentral:rRNA from 1 species